rnacentral:rRNA from 1 species
UACGUAGGUGGCAAGCGUUAUCCGGAAUUACUGGGCGUAAAGCGCGCGCAGGUGGUUUCUUAAGUCUGAUGUGAAAGCCCACGGCUCAACCGUGGAGGGUCAUUGGAAACUGGGAGACUUGCGUGCAGAAGAGGAAAGUGGAAUUCCAUGUGUAGCGGUGAAAUGCGUAGAGAUAUGGAGGAACACCAGUGGCGAAGGCGACUUUCUGGUCUGUAACUGACACUGAGGUGCGAAAGCGUGGGGAGCAAACAGGAUUAGAUACCCUAGUAGUCC